rnacentral:piRNA from 1 species
UCAGUAACAGGUCUCUACAUCUCUACUGA